GGGACCAGCCUAUAUAAGGCAAGGAAUCAAUGAGUAUCUAUUCCUAACUCAUAUUAAUUUAUAAAUCCAUAACACAACUACUUUUCAUCUCCCCUGUAAAACAGUAGCCACAGUCUUUCUAGUAAGACUAUGUGGUACGGGACCAUAAACCCAUAACACAACUACUUUUUAUCUCCCCUAUAAAAAGUAACCAUAGUCUUACUUGAAAGAGUAAGACUAUGGUGUAUGGGGUCACCAUAUAUAAGGCAAGCAAUCAAUAAGUAUCUAUUCCUCAAUUUGUAAACCCAUAAGAUCACAUCAAUUUAAAAUAUUGACUUCAGCAAAACAAUUUAACGUGUAUCUUCUAUGAUGUCUUGGUUUUCGUAAUAAAUGCUUGUUGGGCUUGUUGUA